AGUGAAAAUUCAUAUUGAUCAAUCAAUCUCUAUGUCCUACCAGUUCGCUAAGUAUAUUUUGUAAUUUUCAAAAUAUUAUCUUCAACAAAUAAGUUGCAACUUGCAGCUCAACAUAAGUCAAAGAGAAGAAUAUCUAGAAAAAGAAAUGAAUUCAGACAUGUUCAUGUUCUCUGUUUUGUGAGUUACAUGACUUGUAAGUAUUAAAUAUUAUCAAUAUUGGUUUGUUACGAUGAAUUUGUGAUAAUCAUGAUAUAAUAAUAUUAGGGUCUGUCUAACUAAAUAAUUUUAACCAAUAAUAUUACAUAAUUCAAACGAUAAACUGAUAAUUAAUUACAUAUUAGAUUAAUCAAUAAUUUCUAUUAUUUUCCCUUGAAAGUGGAUGUAUAUUGGAAAGUUAGAAAAAAGGGGAAUGUCUCGUCUUACUUGGCCAACUUGCUACAUUUAUAAGUUGGACAAAAAAUUGGGCGAUGACUUUUGAAAAAGACAGCUGCGCCCUUGUUGAAUUUGACCCCAAGCUUAAUUGGUUUGACCAUCCCCUUCUACUUUCUAUUUUGUUGUGCUAGUUUGAAAAUCAAAAGCAGUUAAAGUUGACAGACAAAUUUCAGAAGUGUAAUAUUUAGGGUGGCUUUGGUAAUAUUUUAACUUUUAAAUAAUGAUAUAUUUACCUAUUAGAAAUCGAAAUAGAAAUUAAGGAAUGAGAAUAAAUGAUUUGUUUACUUGUUUAAAUGAAGGUUGAAAUGGGAAUCACAGUGAUGGAUCUCAGUUAAAAUUGAGAAUGAUUACUAAAGUUUCCACUCUCAUAGGGGAGGUAGAAAUAAAAAUCUUAUUCCUUGAACUGAUCAUAUUACCUCCGCUCAAAUUUUAAAAUUCUCAUUUUGUCAUUCUCUUGUUGUUAUUAUUAUUAUUAUUAUUAAUCACGAUUAUUAUAAUAAAUAAUGACAAUAAUCAACUAAUGUCAGUUUAGUAACUUAUUACAAUCCAUUCCGAUUCCAAAAUAAAGUAAAUACAUCAAUGACAAUGCUGUUCAUUUCGAUUUUGAUUCUUAUAAUUAAAGUAAACAAUUUAUUUUAAUUUUUAUUCCUCAUUCCGAUUUCAGCCCACUCAGAUUUCACUCCAUUACGAUUCAACCCUUUCCGAUUAACUUGAUUAGUAAACGCACCAUAAUUGUUGUUAGUUGUACUAUAGAAGUAAUCAGUUGUGAAGUGAAGUAGUUAAACGUUUGGUAAAAUUUAUUUUUAAAGAUACUAUGAGUUUUAAAAGUAGUUGUAUGUGUUUAGUAAAUCUUAAUGUUAAACUGUUGUAAGAAUACAAAUGACUAAAAUAGACAUAAUGUUGAAUAUGUGUGUGUAUACAGAUAAUAUUUUUUAUUGUGUAUAUAUAAUAAUUGAUAACUAAAAUAAUUUUUUUUUGUUAAUUUUAUUUUUAUUUUUUAUCUUAAUAUAAUUGGUAAUAAUAAUAAUAUCAUUAAAUUUAAUAAUUUUAUUUCCUAAUUGAGUAAGGAUAAUUUUAGAUUUUUAUAAUAAAUGUGAGGAUAUAUAUGAAAUUAUAUCAAUUAUAAAAUUGUCUCUCAAAAUUAGAUUUUGAAAAGUUAUUCUUUUCUUUCUUUCUAAAAAUAUGUUGUAAGAAAUUUUGACAAAAGUAAUUUUUUUAAAAAAAUUUCAAAAUUAAAAUUAUCUUUAAUUUUAUAAAAUCACUUUUGAUCCUCUGAGUGAUAAUCCCAAACAACCCUUAGAGGUAUUAAAUAUUUAAACUGUUGAAAUCAAGUGAAGAUUUUAAGAUAGUGAUAAGAAUGAAAUAACUAUCAUUCUCGAUGUGUCAUUAUAAUAUCGCUGUUGGUUAUAUCUACUUUAAUUGUGAACGAUCGUCGUAUGAUUUGAUUGGUGUCAUGACCUUAAGGAUCCUCAUCUUAUUCCUAUUACCUAUAACAUUCAAAGGCAAUUAUACCCUCCACAAUUUUAACACACGUUAUACAUUGAAAUCUUUUUUUUAUUAGAAAUCAACUUUAUUGAGAUUUUCUCUCCUUCACUCGAGCCUUUGACCCAAUGUCUUGCAGUAACAAUACACUUUCAAAGUUACAGAAAAUUGGUAUCUUAAAUGCCAUGUAACCAAUUAAUGAAUACCAUCAGUUUAUUAAUAAAUAUGAGUUUUUGUUCAAGACAAAUAUUAAAUAUGUUAUCUGAUGCAACUACCGCUUUCAUUUAAUUAUUCAAAGUCUUGAUAACUUGCAACCAAGUGCAUGUAUGCAGAGCCGCCUAGGUCCAAUUUGCAACAAGAAGGCAAGAAACCUGUUAAGGCUUUUGAAUUAAGUUGCACCAAAAUUCAACUUAUAUAUUGUUUGUGUCCCAAAAGCUAAAACAGCUAGUCAGCUACAGUUGUUACAUAUGAUGGAUUAACACAAAAAUAUGAAAAUUGCAUGGGGUUACAUCAUUGUCAUUGUGCUGUUUGGAGGGUUUACAAUGCUUCCCCACAUUGGGGUCACCAUUAAAUGGUCGUUGAAGCUGGCCCCUAAUUAAUUCAUGCACCUGCGACGUGAGAAUACUGGUGAUCAUGUUAUACGUUGUAGGUAGGGAUGGCAAAACUCCGGGCUGGGUUCGGGUAUUGCAAUGACCGGACCCUGCCCAGAUGCAAUCGGUCCGGGUUCGGGUUCGGGCCGAGUUUUAAUUCGGGUACCCAAAUUUUAUAUUUUUUAAUAUUAUAUGUGUAUAUAUUUUUUAUUUUUUGAUAAUUUAUAAGUUUUAAAUUUAUUUUAAUAAAAUUUGACAUGAAAAUAUAAACUUUAAGUGUUUAAAACUUUAUAUGUGUAUAAUAAAUGAGUCAAAUAAAUAUAAAUAUUUAAAAUAAUAUAUAUUUUAUAAUAUUUUUUUAAUAAAAUCUGGAUUUCAGAUUUAUCAAGUGAUGUCCAAGACCGACUCGAUUUCAUACCCAAAUUAUAUAAUACCCGGCUCAUAAUACCCGAAUACAAUCCGAAUCCGGACCAAACAGAUAUUUUGACCACCGCUAGUUGUAGGCUUAUAGCCAUCUGGGCCAACUCUCUGUGAAAAUGAUAUUGAAAUGAAACUCUAGUAGGGUUAGGGUUUGUUAUACGUUGUAGGCUUAUGGCCAUCUGGGCCAACUCUCUGUGAAAAUGAUAUUGAAAUGAAAACUCUAGUAGGGUUAGGGUUUGGGUUUCGGAUGGAUGAAAUUAAUUGAGGUUUCUGACAGUAUACGUACCUUUCACAGUACAAAUUGUUCAAUGUUUUAAUGCAUGGCUUCGUUUUCUGUGUAGCAAUUAGAUGCAAUGAAUGAUGGGAAGUCAACUCGUUCGAGCAUCAACUUGGCUACAUUUGGACAGAGGAAAAAGAAAGAUAUCGUAAAAAAAAAUAAAAAUCCGAAAUAAAUGAGAGCUGAUAAUUGUAUAAGAUUCGAUUGACAAAAUUUGAUGAAAAGAGAUGAUGGAAAAUGAUAAACAACUCUAACGGUGAUAUAAUUGCAAUUAAAUAUUUAUAAAAUCGUACGGCAUUAGUAAUACCAUAUGAUUUUACAACUGUUUUGUGGUCAUUAUGUGAUAAUCUUCAGUUCAAAUAAAGGAGGGCAACGGGCCGGGCGGCACGUGACACGUUUCAACAAGGCACACAAGUUUAUAUUUUUAGGUACGUAGAUCUUAAAAGUACGGUACGAUUAGUAGUGAGAUAAAGUAUAGCACGCGAAAAAAUACGUAAUAAACAUAUUUUAAUGGUGGGCUAGCACGCCGCUUGUGAGCUAAAGUAUAUCAAAAUAAUUUUUUUAAUAAAAACUAAAAAUAAAA
rnacentral:lncRNA from 1 species